UAAUUUGGUCAGCUGACACACUGCCACUGGACAGGGCCGUUGCCAGUGAGUCGCUUGCAUCAAAGAUUGUGAACUCUGUGCGGCUUGCAUCGUGCUAUACCUCUGUGGCUUGCAAAGCUAUUAGCUAGUAACAGAGGACAUACAAAAAGAUCCGGGAAAGGGGUGUCGUCUGAAAGCUGGAAACUGUGAAAGAAACAACUGAAGGUCACCUCAGAGAGUGUUGUACAUCCAAGUGGGUAUUUUGUGAGGAGCAUCACUGAGAGACCAGAGGGGCUGAGAUCAGAGGAAGCAUCACCACA